rnacentral:sRNA from 1 species
UUAAGACACGAAUAUCCGCACUUGCGAGUUUACAAACCCUGAGAUCUAAAUGCAGGUGCAUGUUUUCCCUGGUGUUGGCGCAUAAAUCGCGCACCCCGGCUUCGGC